GAUCAUCAUCAUGCUGGACUUGAGAGGAUAGUAGCGGCCCCUCCAGGUCUUCCAGAAGAUGCCCUGCUUCCUCUGGUGUCGCUGCUUGGGAGGAGGACUCUGGAAGUAUCUACCGUUUAGGUUGGAGCGUCCGCAGUUACUGAACCACCAACCACCUAUGAAGACCAAGGAUUAUUACAGAAAACUCUGUCGGGGAGAUCUCAAGCCUUACGUGAUCCGCUGCCAGACCACAAAGAAGGAGCUGGUUUAACCCUCUCCUGUCCACAGCCCAGACCUAAAGAGGAGGUGGGAGCAGGUCGGAUGGAGGAGACACUCAAACUGAAGAGGGAUUCAACUGUGAAUGAGGCCUGUUAUGGGAAAAAUCUCAAGGUUUCAUCGCUGAGCGCCGGUGAAAUUUCUGCAAAUGUGUGACAGAUUCUUCAAGGACCACAAUAUGAACCCAGAAUGUGAUGCCACUGGGACCUUCAUCCCGUUAAGUUAUUCCUUUUUUUUUUGUACAUGUCACAUAUCAUAUUGUACUGACACAGUUUGUCCCCCUCCUUAGCAGAGGGAACAAACUGAACCGAGAGAAACUCUCAUACUAGACUAAUACUAAUCAUAUCAAUCUUCUCAUUUACCGCUUGGCAAAAAAAAGUGACUGGACAUAUAUUGGCAAAUAUUGAACUGCUCCUUUAGGGCCUAUCAUGCUCAGUUAACAGGUGUGAACUGUGAGGAAAUGUCGACUAUAUCUCUCAGGUGGAGUUGAACCUGAAGCUGCCUCUCACCUUAAAAUUAUGGGCCUCAUGUAUCACCGCCACUAACCAAGCCUGCUCACAUCAGACUUGCCCCCGGUCCUGCACCAACACUCCCGCCUCUGGAACGACACCUGACUGUGUGUUGCAGUUCACUGUGCCAGCAUUCGUGUCAGUCCAGGGGACAGAGUCCUCAUAUGUUUGUUUUGACAGUGUUUGCCAAGGGACAUGUGCCGAAGAGAUUCAAAAACAGCUCUUUCUUAACCCUGCCCCCGUGUCACCGUCCCUCAUCAACAAGGCUUCAUUAUUAUUGGCAGCUGAGCGCCUGACCCUGUGUUUCAGCCCUGUCUGUGCACCUGCUGCUUGUGCUGCGACAUUGUUGUGCAGUUCAACCCCGGAGGAAGAUAUUCUACAAGUUAUGUGCAUUGUGGGGGACGGAGCCUUCGAAAAAUAAAUGGAUGGCUUGUUUUUCUGACCUUCACACACUGGAGUCUCCCCCUGCUGCACUUUCGCUUACAUAAAAGUGAAGGAUGUCCAGGCUGUGUUUGGCUUUUUUUGCUGUCAUCCUUCAAGCUGUCCUCUCUUCAUUUGACUCUCUCUGGUCUUGUUUUUUGGGGGGUUUCUGUGGUGUCUUGCUCUCACAAAUACAAAGGUUUCUUUUCAUGCCUAUUUUCAAGGAUAUUUGUUUCAAACGGUUUCUGUUUGAGCAGCCUGGAUUAAAUGUAUUUUUAUUUCCUGGACAGCAGAUUAGAGGAGUUAAAUCCCAGUGCUUUCGCAAAUAAGUAAACAUGAUUAGCAUGUUUUGAGCGAGGGAUGUGCUGUGCAUGCCAAGUUUUUUCUUAAACCUUUCAUUUCCGCCUUGUUUCAUUUUCUCAAUCUCCCCUCGUUACUGGGAGCGGGGAAAGGGAGCCCUAAUUAGACCAGCCUCACCCUCUGCAGCCUCAUCUUUUGCAAUCAAAGGCAGGAAACAAGGAGAGUCUGUGGAGAGGCAGGGUUUACUAGAGUUCAGUGGUCAGCGGGACUGGAGGCUGUGAGAAAGACGAGGACAGAAACCAGCGGAGGGAGAGAGAGAGAAGGGCAGGGAACGUCUUUUAGUUACCUCUGGGGAGUUUGUUCUCUCUGCCUACCAUGGGCCCCAUUAGUAAAUUUGAGGGUUGUGACCCAGGUCGUAGCCGGGAUCAGAGUUUGUAAAUCAGAGGCCUCUCUCCCCCUGGAGGCUCCGUGACCUCCCUGCUGCACAUCCUGUUAACCAGCAUGGCAUAAACAAAGCCUCCUGCCAAGUUCCUCCAAUUCCAGCAAGCCCCUUCACACCAGCAUGACGAGAAGGUCUGCAAUUGGAACUUGUGUCUCUGUGCGGUACAUUUGUUACAGGCAAAUCUGUGCAGAAUUGAAAUAGCCAUGACCAAAGGUAAACUCUGGCAUUUGUCAGACCACUGUCGGCGUAUAUUCACUCAAGUCCAAUUUUUUUACAUUAAUAUUUCCAAUUUAUGUUAAUUUAUACUUAAACACUGCUGCAUUUAUGUUACAGCUACUUUAUAUGCUGUUUCUCUUAACAAAAAGCAAAAGACAGAUUGAACCAGCUUCAUCAUGCAUCAUCAUUAACAAUCCAGUAAUAAUGAUGCAUCAAAAUAUCAACACCAAAGUUGAUAUGAUGAACUUGUUGGUCAACAUUUGCUUAUUUAUUCAUCCAGUAGUUAUGGAGGAAGAUCACAUAGAGUCACGUUUCAUGCUUUUUGGUGAAUGUCAUUUUUUUUGCUCAACAUUUGCUUAUUUAUUCAUCCAGUAGUUAUGGAGGAAGAUCACAUAGAGUCACGUUUCAUGCUUUUUGGUGAAUGUCAUUUUUUUUGCUCAGUCUUUUUCUCCACCGAGGUCUGGCUCUACAUGUUCCACUACGUCCACUAGCUCUUUGCAACCCACGCCUGCCUGCUGUUUGGUGCUGAGCAGGUGGUGCACAGUGGAUUAUUUUAGAGCUCCUUUUGCUGAAAACAACCUCCUGCUGGCCCUUAAACAUGCAAGAUGAGGUGAGACGAGGAGAGAGGUGUGAGUGAACCAAAACAGGGUCAGAAAACCAAAACAUUUCGCUGAAGAAAAAAAAAGUUCAGUGGGGCAGAAGGGACUGAACAGAAUGUUCUCUGAAACAGGCCCUUUCAUGUUAAACAUCAUUAUUUCAGCCUUUAUACACGAUUAUUGACUGUAAAUGCCCAAAUACCUCCUCCACCAUUGCUGUUUAAAGAACAUGCAAACACAGAACCCAUUCACGGAGAGCCAACCUCCUGGUGCAGCAACACCCUGCAGCACUGACUUGUUCAGAUGUUUCCCUUGCUUUCACCACUGGUCACUGCGAGAAGGAAAAUUCACUUGAUUUCAUAACUCAUCUGUUUUUCAGUCUCAUCGUAUAAUUUUGACAUUUUGAGAGCAGAGGGGGACUAUGAACAUUCCAGUUUUAAGGAUGUAAAUACGGGCCCCGGUUAGCUGCGAUGUGAGGGGCUGUCCGGGUGUGAUCCUGAUACAACCCUCAAUAAACUCUGGCGCUACAUGGGUACAUCACUUGUCAAAAUGAAACUAGAGACACAACAAAUUUGGUCUAAUUUUGGGAAAGCAGCGGACACUUCACGUCAACAGUGGCAGCUUCCAGAUGCAUGUCUGUGAACAUUCCAGAUAAUUAAGACAGACAGACAAACAGACAGACACACAGGUCCAUUGCUGGUGUUUUCUAGCUGAGUAAGACCUUGGUGGCAUGCAGACAAACAUGGAGUGGCCUUGGGAUA